UUAGCGGCGGACGGGUGAGUAACACGUGGGUAACCUGGCCUGUAAGACUGGGAUAACUCCGGGAAACCGGAGCUAAUACCGGAUAGUUCCUUGAACCGCAUGGUUCAAGGAUGAAAGACGGUUUCGGCUGUCACUUACAGAUGGACCCGCGGCGCAUUAGCUAGUUGGUGGGGUAAUGGCUCACCAAGGCGACGAUGCGUAGCCGACCUGAGAGGGUGAUCGGCCACACUGGGACUGAGACACGGCCCAGACUCCUACGGGAGGCAGCAGUAGGGAAUCUUCUUUAAU
rnacentral:rRNA from 1 species